rnacentral:rRNA from 1 species
CCUACGGGCGGCAGCAGUGAGGAAUAUUGGUCAAUGGACGAGAGUCUGAACCAGCCAAGUAGCGUGAAGGAUGACUGCCCUAUGGGUUGUAAACUUCUUUUAUAUGGGAAUAAAAUGUUCCACGUGUGGGAUUUUGUAUGUAUCAUAUGAAUAAGGAUCGGCUAACUCCGUGCCAGCAGCCGCGGUAAUACGGAGGAUCCGAGAGUUAUCCGGAUUUAUUGGGUUUAAAGGGUGCGUAGGUGGAUUGUUAAGGCAGUUGUGAAAGUUUGCGGCUCAACCGUAAAAUUGCAGUUGAAACUGGCAGUCUUGAGUACAGUAGAGGUGGGCGGAAUUCGUGGUGUAGCGGUGAAAUGCUUAGAUAUCACGAAGAACUCCGAUUGCGAAGGCAGUUCACUGGACUGCAACUGACACUGAGGCUCGAAAGUGUGGGUAUCAAACAGGAUUAGAUACCCCAGUAGUC